AAAACAGCGGUGAAGAGGACCAGUACUUCGUGGAAUCCUUGCAGAGAGUCGGCGGGUGGUGCAAGCCGACAGGAUGGAUGCGGACGAACUCACCUCAGAGCUGCAACAGGGAACCGUCUGGAAACGUCUUUCAGAUCGGCUACUUGUUGCCGGAUUCGUCCACGUUACCGGACGCCAAUGAGGGCGACGCCAUUUUUUGUCGCCGAAGCAGGGUGGUACCACGGGAAGAUAACCUAACCUCUCGUCCCUAGC
rnacentral:ncRNA from 1 species